rnacentral:piRNA from 1 species
UCGGCUCCAUCGUUUGUGCUCAUG